rnacentral:rRNA from 1 species
AUUGAACGCUGGCGGCAUGCCUUACACAUGCAAGUCGAACGGCAGCACGGGAGCAAUCCUGGUGGCGAGUGGCGAACGGGUGAGUAAAGUAUCGGAACGUGCCCAGUCGUGGGGGAUAACGUAGCGAAAGUUACGCUAAUACCGCAUACGAUCUAUGGAUGAAAGCGGGGGAUCGCAAGACCUCGCGCGAUUGGAGCGGCCGAUAUCAGAUUAGGUAGUUGGUGGGGUAAAGGCUCACCAAGCCGACGAUCUGUAGCUGGUCUGAGAGGACGACCAGCCCAACUGGGACUGAGACACGGCCCAGACUCCUACGGGAGGCAGCAGUGGGGAAUUUUGGACAAUGGGCGAAAGCCUGAUCCAGCCAUGCCGCGUGCAGGAUGAAGGCCUUCGGGUUGUAAACUGCUUUUGUACGGAACGAAAAGGUUUGGCCUAAUAAGCUGAGCUCAUGACGGUACCGUAAGAAUAAGCACCGGCUAACUACGUGCCAGCCGCCGCGGUAA